rnacentral:rRNA from 1 species
CGGGGGGAGCAAGCGUUGUUCGGAUUUACUGGGCGUAAAGGGCGCGUAGGCGGCGUAACAAGUCACUUGUGAAAUCUCCGGGCUUAACCCGGAGCGGCCAAGUGAUACUGUUGUGCUAGAGUGCGGAAGGGGCUACUGGAAUUCUCGGUGUAGCGGUGAAAUGCGUAGAUAUCGAGAGGAACACCUGCGGCGAAGGCGGGUAGCUGGGCCGACACUGACGCUGAGGCGCGAAAGCCAGGGGAGCGAACGGGAUUAGAUACCCCGGUAGUCCUGGCCUUAAACGAUGGAUACUUGGUGUCCGGGGUUACAUAGUCCCCGGGUGCCGGCGCUAACGCAUUAAGUAUCCCGCCUGGGGAGUACGGUCGCAAGACUG